rnacentral:lncRNA from 1 species
GUUCGUUGCGAAAAAAUCCACUCGAGUUUCGCUACCCGGCAAUAUGCAAUCGGGUGCCGAAAUGCACCCGUUUUGCAUCAUUUUUCGUUCCGGAACCGAAUGCUCAAAAACACUCCCAAACAUGUUCUAGGGUAUAAUUAGGAAGAUUGCAUGCGUUCGUUGCGAAAAAAUCCACCCGAGUUUCGCUACCCGGCAAUAUGCAAUCGGGUGCCGAAAUGCACCCGUUUUGCAUCAUUUUUCGUUCCGGAACCGAAUGCUCAAAAACACUCCCAAACAUGUUCUAGGGUAUAAUUAUGAAGAUUGCAUGCGUUCGUUGCGAAAAAAUCCACCCGAGUUUCGCUACCCGGCAAUAUGCAUUCGGGUACCGAAAUGCACCCGUAUUGCAUCAUUUUUCGUUCCGGAACCGAAUGCUCAAAAACACUACCAAACAUGUUCUAGGGUAUAAUUAUGAAGAUUGCAUGCGUUCGUUGCGAAAAAAUCUAAUCGAGUUUCGCUACACGGAAAAAGUGCAUUCGGGUGCCGAAAUGCACCCGUUUUGCAUCAUUUUUCAUUCCGGAACCGAAUGCUCAAAAACACUCCCAAACAUGUUCUAGGGUAUAAUUAUGAAGAUUGCAUGCGUUCGUUGCGAAAAAAUCCACCCGAGUUUCGCUACACGGAAAAAGUGCAUUCGGGUGCCGAAAUGCACCCGUUUUGCAUCAUUUUUCGUUCCGGAACCGAAUGCUCAAAAACACUCCCAAACAUGUUUUAGGGUAUAAUUAGGAAGAUUGCAUGCGUUCGUUGCGAAAAAAUCCACUCGAGUUUCGCUACCCGGCAAUAUGCAUUCGGGUGCCGAAAUGCACCCGUUUUGCAUCAUUUUUCAUUCCGGAACCGAAUGCUCAAAAACACUCCCAAACAUGUUCUAGGGUAUAAUUAUGAAGAUUGCAUGCGUUCGUUGCGAAAAAAUCCACCCGAGUUUCGCUACCCGGCAAUAUGCAUUCGGGUACCGAAAUGCACCCGUAUUGCAUCAUUUUUCGUUCCGGAACCGAAUGCUCAAAAACACUACCAAACAUGUUCUAGGGUAUAAUUAUGAAGAUUGCAUGCGUUCGUUGCGAAAAAAUCAACCCGAGUUUCGCUACCCGUAAAUAGUGCAUUCGGCUACCGAAAUGCACCCGUUUUGCAUCGUUUUUCGUUCCGGAACCGAAUGCUCAAAAACACUCCCAAACAUGUUUUAGGGUAUAAUUACGAAGAUUGCAUGCGUUCGUUGCGAAAAAAUCCACCCGAGUUUCGCUACCCGGCAAUAUGCAUUCGGGUGCCGAAAUGCACCCGUUUUGCAUCAUUUUUCAUUCCGGAACCGAAUGCUCAAAAACACUCCCAAACAUGUUCUAGGGUAUAAUUAUGAAGAUUGCAUGCGUUCGUUGCGAAAAAAUCAACCCGAGUUUCGCUACCCGUAAAUAGUGCAUUCGGCUACCGAAAUGCACCCGUUUUGCAUCGUUUUUCGUUCCGGAACCGAAUGCUCAAAAACACUCCCAAACAUGUUUUAGGGUAUAAUUACGAAGAUUGCAUGCGUUCGUUGCGAAAAAAUCCACCCGAGUUUCGCUACCCGGCAAUAUGCAUUCGGGUGCCGAAAUGCACCCGUAUUGCAUCAUUUUUCGUUCCGGAACCGAAUGCUCAAAAGCACUCCCAAACAUGUUCUAGGGUAUAAUUAUGAAGAUUGCAUGCGUUCGUUGCGAAAAAAUCAACCCGAGUUUCGCUACCCGUAAAUAGUGCAUUCGGCUACCGAAAUGCACCCGUUUUGCAUCGUUUUUCGUGCUGUAACCGAAUGCUCAGAAACACUCCCAAACAUGUUCUAGGGUCUAAUUAGAAAGAUUGCACGCGUUCGUUGCGAAAAAAUCCACCCGAGUUUCGCUACCCGGCAAUAUGCAAUCGGGUGCCGAAAUGCACCCGUUUUGCAUCAUUUUUCGUUCCGGAACCGAAUGCUCAAAAACACUCCCAAACAUAUUCUAGGGUAUAAUUAUGAAGAUUGCAUGCGUUCGUUGCGAAAAAAUCCACCCGAGUUUCGCUACCCGGCAAUAUGCAUUCGGGUACCGAAAUGCACCCGUAUUGCAUCAUUUUUCGUUCCGGAACCGAAUGCUCAAAAACACUCCCAAACAUGUUCUAGGGUAUAAUUAUGAAGAUUGCAUGCGUUCGUUGCGAAAAAAUCCACCCGAGUUUCGCUACACGGAAAAAGUGCAUUCGGGUGCCGAAAUGCACCCGUUUUGCAUCAUUUUUCGUUCCGGAACCGAAUGCUCAAAAACACUCCCAAACAUGUUUUAGGGUAUAAUUAGGAAGAUUGCAUGCGUUCGUUGCGAAAAAAUCCACUCGAGUUUCGCUACCCGGCAAUAUGCAAUCGGGUGCCGAAAUGCACCCGUUUUGCAUCAUUUUUCGUUCCGGAACCGAAUGCUCAAAAACACUCCCAAACAUGUUCUAGGGUAUAAUUAGGAAGAUUGCAUGCGUUCGUUGCGAAAAAAUCCACCCGAGUUUCGCUACCCGGCAAUAUGCAAUCGGGUGCCGAAAUGCACCCGUUUUGCAUCAUUUUUCGUUCCGGAACCGAAUGCUCAAAAACACUCCCAAACAUGUUCUAGGGUAUAAUUAUGAAGAUUGCAUGCGUUCGUUGCGAAAAAAUCCACCCGAGUUUCGCUACCCGGCAAUAUGCAUUCGGGUACCGAAAUGCACCCGUAUUGCAUCAUUUUUCGUUCCGGAACCGAAUGCUCAAAAACACUACCAAACAUGUUCUAGGGUAUAAUUAUGAAGAUUGCAUGCGUUCGUUGCGAAAAAAUCUAAUCGAGUUUCGCUACACGGAAAAAGUGCAUUCGGGUGCCGAAAUGCACCCGUUUUGCAUCAUUUUUCAUUCCGGAACCGAAUGCUCAAAAACACUCCCAAACAUGUUCUAGGGUAUAAUUAUGAAGAUUGCAUGCGUUCGUUGCGAAAAAAUCCACCCGAGUUUCGCUACACGGAAAAAGUGCAUUCGGGUGCCGAAAUGCACCCGUUUUGCAUCAUUUUUCGUUCCGGAACCGAAUGCUCAAAAACACUCCCAAACAUGUUUUAGGGUAUAAUUAGGAAGAUUGCAUGCGUUCGUUGCGAAAAAAUCCACUCGAGUUUCGCUACCCGGCAAUAUGCAUUCGGGUGCCGAAAUGCACCCGUUUUGCAUCAUUUUUCAUUCCGGAACCGAAUGCUCAAAAACACUCCCAAACAUGUUCUAGGGUAUAAUUAUGAAGAUUGCAUGCGUUCGUUGCGAAAAAAUCCACCCGAGUUUCGCUACCCGGCAAUAUGCAUUCGGGUACCGAAAUGCACCCGUAUUGCAUCAUUUUUCGUUCCGGAACCGAAUGCUCAAAAACACUACCAAACAUGUUCUAGGGUAUAAUUAUGAAGAUUGCAUGCGUUCGUUGCGAAAAAAUCCAAUCGAGUUUCGCUACACGGAAAAAGUGCAUUCGGGUGCCGAAAUGCACCCGUUUUGCAUCAUUUUUCGUUCCGGAACCGAAUGCUCAAAAACACUCCCAAACAUGUUCUAGGGUAUAAUUAUGAAGAUUGCAUGCGUUCGUUGCGAAAAAAUCCACCCGAGUUUCGCUACCCGGUAAUAUGCAUUCGGGUACCGAAAUGCACCCGUAUUGCAUCAUUUUUCGUUCCGGAACCGAAUGCUCAAAAACACUACCAAACAUGUUCUAGGGUAUAAUUAUGAAGAUUGCAUGCGUUCGUUGCGAAAAAAUCCAAUCGAGUUUCGCUACACGGAAAAAGUGCAUUCGGGUGCCGAAAUGCACCCGUUUUGCAUCAUUUUUCGUUCUGGAACCGAAUGCUCAAAAACACUCCCAAACAUGUUCUAGGGUAUAAUUAUGAAGAUUGCAUGUGUUCGUUGCGAAAAAAUCCACCCGAGUUUCGCUACCCGGCAAUAUGCAUUCGGGUACCGAAAUGCAACCGUAUUGCAUCAUUUUUCGUUCCGGAACCGAAUGCUCAAAAACACUCCCAAACAUGUUCUAGGGUAUAAUUAUGAAGAUUGCAUGCGUUCGUUGCGAAAAAAUCCAAUCGAGUUUCGCUACACGGAAAAAGUGCAUUCGGGUGCCGAAAUGCACCCGUUUUGCAUCAUUUUUCGUUCCGGAACCGAAUGCUCAAAAACACUCCCAAACAUGUUUUAGGGUAUAAUUAGGAAGAUUGCAUGCGUUCGUUGCGAAAAAAUCCACCCGAGUUUCGCUACCCGGCAAUAUGCAUUCGGGUGCCGAAAUGCACCCGUUUUGCAUCAUUUUUCAUUCCGGAACCGAAUGCUCAAAAACACUCCCAAACAUGUUCUAGGGUAUAAUUAUGAAGAUUGCAUGCGUUCGUUGCGAAAAAAUCCACCCGAGUUUCGCUACCCGGCAAUAUGCAUUCGGGUACCGAAAUGCACCCGUAUUGCAUCAUUUUUCGUUCCGGAACCGAAUGCUCAAAAACACUCCCAAACAUGUUCUAGGGUAUAAUUAGGAAUAUUGCAUGCGUUCGUUGCGAAAAAAUCCACCUGAGUUUCGCUACCCGGAAAUAGUGCAUUCGGGUGCCGAAAUGCACCCGUUUUGCAUCAUUUUUCGUUCCGGAACCGAAUGCUCAAAAACACUCCCAAACAUGUUUUAGGGUAUAAUUAGGAAGAUUGCAUGCGUUCGUUGCGAAAAAAUCCACCCGAGUUUCGCUACCCGGCAAUAUGCAAUCGGGUGCCGAAAUGCACCCGUUUUGCAUCAUUUUUCGUUCCGGAACCGAAUGCUCAAAAACACUCCCAAACAUGUUCUAGGGUAUAAUUAUGAAGAUUGCAUGCGUUCGUUGCGAAAAAAUCCAAUCGAGUUUCGCUACACGGAAAAAGUGCAUUCGGGUGCCGAAAUGCACCCGUUUUGCAUCAUUUUUCGUUCCGGAACCGAAUGCUCAAAAACACUCCCAAACAUGUUUUAGGGUAUAAUUAGGAAGAUUGCAUGCGUUCGUUGCGAAAAAAUCCACCCGAGUUUCGCUACCCGGCAAUAUGCAAUCGGGUGCCGAAAUGCACCCGUUUUGCAUCAUUUUUCGUUCCGGAACCGAAUGCUCAAAAACACUCCCAAACAUGUUCUAGGGUAUAAUUAUGAAGAUUGCAUGCGUUCGUUGCGAAAAAAUCCAAUCGAGUUUCGCUACACGGAAAAAGUGCAUUCGGGUGCCGAAAUGCACCCGUUUUGCAUCAUUUUUCGUUCCGGAACCGAAUGCUCAAAAAGACUCCCAAACAUGUUUUAGGGUAUAAUUAGGAAGAUUGCAUGCGUUCGUUGCGAAAAAAUCCACCCGAGUUUCGCUACCCGGCAAUAUGCAAUCGGGUGCCGAAAUGCACCCGUUUUGCAUCAUUUUUCGUUCCGGAACCGAAUGCUCAAAAACACUCCCAAACAUGUUCUAGGGUAUAAUUAUGAAGAUUGCAUGCGUUCGUUGCGAAAAAAUCCACCCGAGUUUCGCUACCCGGCAAUAUGCAUUCGGGUACCGAAAUGCACCCGUAUUGCAUCAUUUUUCGUUCCGGAACCGAAUGCUCAAAAACACUCCCAAACAUGUUCUAGGGUAUAAUUAGGAAGAUUGCAUGCGUUCGUUGCGAAAAAAUCCACCCGAGUUUCGCUUCCCGGCAAUAUGCAUUCGGGUGCCGAAAUGCACCCGUUUUGCAUCAUUUUUCGUUCCGGAACCGAAUGCUCAAAAACACUCCCAAACAUGUUCUAGGGUAUAAUUAGGAAGAUUGCAUGCGUUCGUUGCGAAAAUAUCCACCCGAGUUUCGCUACCCGGCAAUAUGCAUUCGGGUGCCGAAAUGUACCCGUUUUGCAUCAUUUUUCGUUACGGAACCGAAUGCUCAAAAACACUCCCAAACAUGUUCUAGGGUAUAAUUAUGAAGAUUGCAUGCGUUCGUUGCGAAAAAAUUCACCCGAGUUUCGCUACCCGGAAAUAGUGCAUUCGGGUGCCGAAAUGCACCCGUUUUGCAUCGUUUUUCGUGCCGGAACCGAAUGCUCAAAAACACUCCCAAACAUGUUCUAAGGUCUAGUUAGGAAGAUUAGAUGCGUUCGUUGCGAAAAAAUCCACCCGAGUUUCGCUACGCGGAAAUAGGGCAUUCGGGUGCCGAAAUGCACCCGUUUUGCAUCAUUUUUCGUGCCGGAACCGAAUGCUCAAAUACACUCCCAAACAUGUUCUGGUGUAUACUUAGGAAGAUUGGAUGCGUUCGUUCCGAGAAAAUCCACCCGAGUUUCGCUACCCGGAAAUAGUGCAUUCGGGUGCCGAAAUGCACCCAUUUUGCAUCGUUUUUCGUGCCAGAUCGAAUGCUCAAAAACAUUCCCAAACAUGUUCUAGUGUAUAGUUAGGAAGAUUGCAUGCGUUCGUUGCGAGAAAAUCCACCCGAGUUUCGCUACCCGGAAAUAGUGCAUUCGGGUGCCGAAAUGCACCCGUUUUGCAUCAUUUUUCGUUCCGGAACCGAAUGCUCAAAAACACUACCAAACAUGUUCUAGGGUAUAAUUAUGAAGAUUGCAUGCGUUCGUUGCGAAAAAAUCCAAUCGAGUUUCGCUACACGGAAAAAGUGCAUUCGGGUGCCGAAAUGCACCCGUUUUGCAUCAUUUUUCGUUCCGGAACCGAAUGCUCAAAAACACUCCCAAACAUGUUCUAGGGUAUAAUUAUGAAGAUUGCAUGCGUUCGUUGCGAAAAAAUCCACCCGAGUUUCGCUACACGGAAAAAGUGC